GUGACCGGCGUUAUGGUGGCUGUGUACGGCGGCGACCACAAGUUCUUCGAUGCUGGGCUUUCAUGUUUCUUCGUGAGCAUCAGGACAAAGAAGUCGGAGGAAGCAUAGUUCUAACAUUGCUGUCAAGUGUCAAGUUUUGCA